rnacentral:piRNA from 1 species
UUUAAAGCCGGAAUGCUGAAG